UCUUUCCCCUCCCCCUUGCUUUCUCUAGGACUGCCACUGUUGAGUCUGUGGGAGUAUGAAUCAGCAGCAGCAGAGAAUGGCUGCAGUUGGGACAGACAAAGAGCUCAGUGACCUGCUGGACUUCAGUAUGAUGUUUCCCCUGCCAGUGGCUAAUGGAAAAAACAGACCCACGACCCUAGCAAGCACUCAGUUUGGAGGAUCAGAUGUACAGAGAAAAAUCUUCC